GGUGCUAUGGUGUAGUGGCAGCACUUGGGAUUUUGAUCGGUGAUUCCAUAUGGACAGUCCUUCCCACAACCCAGGUUCGAACCCUGGUAGUGCCU